CCACCCUCCGCCGCGGGCUUGGCGCCCCGCCCCGCCCCGCCCGCCAGGCUCCGCCCACCCCGCCGUCCGGAUCCGGGAAGGGGGCCUCCAGGGGCGCCACGAGAGCCGCGGUGUCCGCUGCCCGUGGGGUCUUCGUUCUUUAACCCUCAUGGAGCCGACCGCUUGAUUCUGUUGAGGGGGGAGAUGGCAGACACCUAGCCCUUGCUACUGACCGACACUCCUGGUCACUCCGAUACUCCCAGUGGCCCGCACCUGUGCCACAUUUCCUUGUGAAGUGAACAAGUUGCGUUAGUGAAAAUAAAGAUGCGAUUUUUUUUCUCCAUCUGAGUUUAUGGCGCAGUGGAAUUCCAUUUCUGUACUGUGAGAUUCUUCAUGCUUUUCGCAUUUUUUAAAACUUGUCUCAUCUACCACCAUUUUCUGUUCAUUUUUAUUAAUCCCUCUGGGACGAAUAUUAGAAGGAGACUGAAGGAAGUGAGGGAAAUUGAUCCUUGAAGGCAAAGUAGAACUACAUAUUACCAAUAAAGCAGAAUAUUGAAGACUUGGUAUGGAAAAUGAGCGCUCCAGGAUAUAAACAAUAUAUCCCCAGCAUUGUGAAGCUAAACAAUGCAGGCAAUUAUUUUGCUAAAGUGGGGACAACUGGUUAGACUCUGCAACAUUCUUCUCUCUUCAGUUCCAAUGCCUGGAGACAGGCAGUACAGUGGGACUCUCAGUGACACCUGGAGGUAGAAGGAAGCACUGAUGAGCCAAUGAAGAUGCCCCAAGGAGAAGAGGUCCACGUUAACCAUCUUUCUGGUCCAGAGAAUGUGAAGCCACCCAGUCAGUUGCCAGGAUGGAACCUAAACUGGACCUCACAUCCCACCUGACCUCUGAUUGUGUUGGGUGUUGGAGGAUGAGAACACAGAGAGAAUCCUGAACUGGUUGAGUAUUAACCCGAAGGGAGCCAAGAGAAAAAACCUAAAGGCGACUGAAUUACCCUGCACUGGCAAGAUGAAGCGGAAAUGAGCCCUUAGCACCAAGAGUAAAGAAGGCUGACAGAAGAAAUCAAGUAUGGGAUUCAUUCAGUAGACAACAGAGGAGCUGAAGGUGGAUAUAAGAGAAUUAAGAUGGUGACCCAUGAAGCCAUGGAGGAAGGAGAAGUAGUUAAUUGGAUUUCCAGGCAUUGCAGCCAGCCACAGCAAUUGAUCCCUGAAAAGAUGGAUUUAUUGCUUAGACAGGCAGAAUUCUGACAAUCUUCAGAGGAUGGAAAAUAAAAGAAAACAGCCCAUACACAGAGCACGGUGGGUCACCAUCAGGUCAGACCAGCAAGAUAUGUUACAGCUGGCAGGUUUAUCCUGGAACUUCAGGACGAGUAAUCUUCUCACUAAAUGGGCAGCACCAGGACCCAGUAGAAUAUUUUGUAGGAUAUUGUCAGUGAUCCAUGCUUAGGAAGAAACAUAGUCUAGGAUGGAGACCCCAAGGUAGAUGUUAGGUCCCAGACCGAUUGGACCCAUGGUUGGAAAAUUGAGUAAAUUUGAAAUAGCUCACACCUUUGGUGGUUUUAUCUGGAAUGAGACCUUAUUCUGCCUGGUGGGUGACUCUGUUGGAAUGCCAUAAUGGCUCAUGGUGCAGAACUAAUAUGGAACUCAUGCCUUCACUACUGUUUGCAGAGGGUCCUGGAAAUUUGUCAGUUGAGAAGCACCAGAACACUGCUCUCAGCUCUGCAAAAGUCUGACAUCCAUCUGACCAUUCACCCAUCCAUCCAUGUAAUAAUUUUUUAGUGAGUCCCUACUAUAGGCUAAGAACUUUGUUUGGUGGUGAGCAUAGAGGAACGGAUAAUAAAAAAAUAGAGUUCCUAUGCUUCUGAAACUUACAGCCUUUUGGGCAAACAACUACAAGUUUGCUGAGAGUUAGCAAAGAGGGGUUUAGGGAGCUGCAGGAGUGUAUUACAGGUGGACCUACCCUGGUAGGGGCUGGGGAGGGCUUCUAGGAGAAAAUGCUGUGAGCUGAGACCUGAGAGACUGGAUAUCCCAAUGGACAAUGGUCAGACCAAAUGUAAAAUAGAACUCUGACUCACCAUCUGCAGCAACUAGCCAACCCAUCAUCUACAGCAACCAAGCUAGGCAGCUAGCCUGCUAUCUGUAAGUCAAGCUAUAGAAAAACCACCAUCUCUAGCAACCAGCCCAGGAAAGCUAAACAAUAACCCCAGUAACAAUUGGCUGGGACUUGAUUAAUAAGUAACAGUUUCUCUCAUUUCUAUCCCUACUUCCAACUUAGGAUCAACCAGAGAAAGCCCAAUAUGUACCCUUAACCAAUCACACAGGCCACUUCUAGUUAACCCACCUAAGGUUUCUCAUACCGAUAGCUUCUAGUCAGGGUACACCUGAAGCCUUCUCUUUUUGCAUUAUGAAACUUUCCCACUCCUCUGCCUGCCUUUGAGUCUGCCAAAAGUCAGGUGAUCGUGGCUG